ACUUCGUUUGCUCUUAUGGACCAUUUGGAUGUGGAGUACUACCUUAGGUGUGAUGAUUAGAUUACCCUGUCUAGCAAGGGUUUCUUAAGGUAUGCAAGGCUUCUUCCUGAUGAAGACUUAAUAAAAGGCAUGGCUAGUGCUGACGAAAAGAAAUUGUAGUGAAACGAAGUUGAUAGUCUGCUUUUGAACGGUGUAGCACUGGAUCAGAGUUCAUCUAUUGAAACCUUUACUCCAAAUGAUCAACUGAUGUACAGGAUUUUUGCACCGUGUUUUGUCCUGCAAAGUGUAUUCCUAAACAACAGAGUUGCUUUAAGAGAAUUAACACUGAAUUACAUAGGGGUGAAGCUGGAAGGCACUUCUGGAGGUCCAACCCCUGUUCAAGCAGAGUCAUCCAGAGCUUAUAAAGAACUCCAAGGAGGAGACUCUACAACCUUUCUGGACAAUCUCUCUGUGCCAGUGUUCCAGCACCUGCUCAACACAGAAUUGCUUCCUGAUCUUCAGGAAUAAUCUCCUUUGUCCCAGUUUGUGCCCAUUAUCACCUGUUCUAGCACUCUGCAGCACUGAAAAGAGCCCAACUCUGUCAUGUGUGUGCUCUCCCUUUAGGUGUUUAUAGAAAUUGAUGAGAUCUCUCUCUGGAUAGGCGACAAAUUUAGAGAAUCUUACAUUAAAGACAAUGUGAUUUUCAGCUAAUAAUUCCACACAAAAUGUUGUUUUGAUUUUUUUUUUAAAGAAUGCUACUUUAUGAUAAA